AGACUUGGAGAGACGCUGUGCUCGCAUGAACUUGGGAGAGAAACUGCAACAAAAGUAUAGAUCUCAUCACGACAGUAUCAAUCCGAUACCGAUACUCAUCUUGGUAUCGAUACUAUCGAUAUUUAGAUCGAUACGCCCAGCCCUAGUAUGUAGCCGAUCUCCGCA